rnacentral:rRNA from 1 species
CGGCUAACUACGUGCCAGCAGCCGCGGUAAUACGUAGGGUGCAAGCGUUGUCCGGAAUUAUUGGGCGUAAAGAGCUCGUAGGCGGUUUGUCGCGUCUGCUGUGAAAUCCCGAGGCUCAACCUCGGGCUUGCAGUGGGUACGGGCAGACUAGAGUGCGGUAGGGGAGAUUGGAAUUCCUGGUGUAGCGGUGGAAUGCGCAGAUAUCAGGAGGAACACCGAUGGCGAAGGCAGAUCUCUGGGCCGUAACUGACGCUGAGGAGCGAAAGCAUGGGGAGCGAACAGGAUUAGAUACCCUGGUAGUCCAUGCCGUAAACGUUGGGCGCUAGAUGUAGGGACCUUUCCACGGUUUCUGUGUCGUAGCUAACGCAUUAAGCGCCCCGCCUGGGGAGUACGGCCGCAAGGCUAAAACUCAAAGGAAUUGACGGGGGCCCGCACAAGCGGCGGAGCAUGCGGAUUAAUUCGAUGCAACGCGAAGAACCUUACCAAGGCUUGACAUACACCGGAAACGGCCAGAGAUGGUCGCCCCCUUGUGGUCGGUGUACAGGUGGUGCAUGGUUGUCGUCAGCUCGUGUCGUGAGAUGUUGGGUUAAGUCCCGCAACGAGCGCAACCCUCGUUCUAUGUUGCCAGCGGGUUAUGCCGGGGACUCAUAGGAGACUGCCGGGGUCAACUCGGAGGAAGGUGGGGAUGACGUCAAAUCAUCAUGCCCCUUAUGUCUUGGGCUUCACGCAUGCUACAAUGGCCGGUACAAAGGGCUGCGAUACCGUAAGGUGGAGCGAAUCCCAAAAAGCCGGUCUCAGUUCGGAUUGAGGUCUGCAACUCGACCUCAUGAAGUCGGAGUCGCUAGUAAUCGCAGAUCAGCAACGCUGCGGUGAAUACGUUCCCGGGCCUUGUACACACCGCCCGUCAAGUCAUGAAAGUCGGUAACACCCGAAG